CGCUAAAAUACCGGUUGCCGUAGAUUCAGCGAAGUUAAGCUCCAUUGAGCCUGGUCAGUACCUGGAUGGGUGAUCACUUGGGAAUACCAGGUGAUGUAAG